CUGUGAUAAUUUUGUCUAAAUGUAUAUCUUCUUUAUACUCAAAAGAUUCUAUCUAUUAGGUUACAUUUCAUAUUACCAACAGAAUAUGAAUCUAUAUUCCAUUGAUAUAUACUCUUUAAUAUUUAAACUUGCAGAUUAUCACAUAUACUCUAGUAUUUUGUAAUUCAUCAAACUUAUUCUUAUGGUUUCUAAGGGCUGUGAAAACAGUCUGAUUUGACAAUUUUGAACUAUUACAGUUUCUUUGGGAGAGCUAUGCUUCUGCAUUCCUGAGCAUAUACCUGAGAGAAGGAAUUUAUCUUCUAAUUGUCUAUGAGUCACAAGUUAAUUACAUGCCCAAAACAGUUACAUCUCAUUCAUUCAGGUCAGGUUGUGUUUCAUCUCAUAACCUCUAUAUGGUUUUUUCUGUUAAUCCUUUGUCUAACUUUUUUCUACAAGCACAACUUUCUGCUAGCUACCAUAUCUCUGUUCUCCUGAAAAAGAAAUUAGCAAUAAUUAACUUCUGGGAAUGGAAAUUAUUUACAUCAUAUCACAUGAGAUAAACUGAAAACUGCUGAAGAAUCUUAAUCAACCCAAAAAUGCUC
rnacentral:lncRNA from 1 species